AAUACCUUUCUCUAACAUUCUGAACAUGAUUUUUCUUUCUUUAUAUACAAGUGCCUCUGAACAUGUUUUCAGUAUAUAACCUGUAUGGACAACAAAAAACCAAUAACCUGUAUGGACAACAAAAGCAGGUAUUGAUCUAGACCCUAAUGAUAGUCAUAACC